GAUGAACGCUGGCGGCGUGCCUAAUACAUGCAAGUCGAGCGAUGCGGGGACGGGUGAGUAACACGUGGAUAACCCCCUAUAACACUGGGAUAACUUCGGGAAACCCGAGCUCAACCCGAUAUUUAUAGAUGGAUCCGCGCUGGAUUAGCUAGUUGGUAAGGUAACGGCUUACCAAGGCAACGAGGCAUACCCGACCUGAGAGGGUGAUCGGCAACACUGGAACUGAGACACGGCCCAGACUCCUACGGGAGGCAGCAGGAGGGAAUCUUCCGCAAUGGGCGAAAGCCUGACGGAGCAACGCCGCGGGAGUGAUGAAGGUCUUCGGAUCGUAAAACUCUUUUAUUAGGGAAGCGGUACCUAAACAGAAAGCCACGGCUAACUACGUGCCAGCAGCCGCGGUAAUAC
rnacentral:rRNA from 1 species